rnacentral:rRNA from 1 species
UACGUAGGGUGCGAGCGUUGUCCGGAAUUACUGGGCGUAAAGAGCUCGUAGGUGGUUUGUCGCGUUGUCCGUGAAAACUCACAGCUUAACUGUGGGCGUGCGGGCGAUACGGGCAGACUGGAGUACUGCAGGGGAGACUGGAAUUCCUGGUGUAGCGGUGAAAUGCGCAGAUAUCAGGAGGAACACCGAUGGCGAAGGCAGCUCGCUGGGACGGUACUGACGCUGAGGCGCGAAAGCGUGGGGAGCAAACAGG